rnacentral:misc_RNA from 1 species
AAAAAUUUAAUAUGAAACAUCCAUCUAAACCCAUUAUACACAUUAUAUUUUGCUAGAUAAAAAUUUUCCAAGGAUGGAUAUAUCUACCUUAGAAUCCACAAUAUUUUAAACUUCAUCUCCAAUCCAGUUCCUUUUUAGUUUGGGGCCUGUGGGUCCUUCUUCUCCGAAAACUUCCUUUGGUAGGCUCUUGACAAACUUUUGAAAAACAGAUUUGAGUUUUUCAGGCAAUAUUUUCUCUACUUUCUUGAUCUCAUCCUCCACGUCGUAGCUAAUUGUUGGACCCCAUUUUCUCAAGUAAUUAAGCCAUGGCGGUUCGAUAAUAGCCGUGCCCAAAUACUCGGCUGCAACCACAGAGAAUCUUGCUCCAGUGUCCAAGACUAUCUUACUUUUGGAAGUAUCGUUCCUGAUUCCUAUCCUACUACUCCCUUGAAAGACCAGACCUGGUUUGGAAUACAUGGCAUGACCGUGCAACGAUGCGUAGCAAACAGCUUUGUUUCCAUUUUCAAACUCAAGCUCUGAGGCAUUGAACCAAGAACCCCCACUGUGUUGGGAGAAGUAAACACUCCAUAGCUCCCCAUUGAAGUUGCUGAUUCUCAAUGUCAAAUGCUCCCAGUCACCAACAUGUUCUCCUAUCCUUCCUAAUGGAGCGUUGAUGAGUUCAACUUUAGCCUUGGCAGGACCAUUGAAAGGAUAAAACACCCACACAACUAUGUCUGUGAAGGUUGCUCCCAGCAUUGGUUUAAUGUGUAAAUAUACCUCAGUUUCUUGUAAAUCUCCUUUCUUGACUCUCUCUUUGGCUUUUUUAUCCACAGGAAGGUCCAACCAGUAUUCACCAUCAUUUGAACCUCCUUGGAGAAGGUUCGAGCCCGUUGGUUCAACAGGGACGGGGUUGGACUCUUCCCCCUUCUUAUAUAAAAGCGCUCCAUUGUUAAAGAACCAACUCACUGAGGACGAAAGGUACUCUUCGUCUGGAUGGAAAUAUAUCCGGGGAGAGUAUGCCUGAAAAAUUGCCUGAAUUUGGUUUAGAUUAGGCAUACAAGAUAAAUUGGAGCUCACUUUCUUCAAGCAAGCUACAGAAGUAGGAGUAGAAUUGCCGUUUUGUGCCACAAAUGUGCCCACACAAACACCCAUAGCCUGCGUCCCUCUAUUGCUGGGCCUCAAACUGAAUGCGUUGAAUCCAUUUGGAUCGCUUUGCUUGCCUGGUCCCCAUAUCCAGGUGUCGAUCUCGCAUUGGUCGGUGAGGUCUGAUCGAACGCAGCAGAUUUUAUCCAAGGAAGGCUUUUCGGCGGAAUUGGUGACGACAACGCCUAAGGCUGUGUAACCAUCAGGAGCGUUGGGUAACCAAAUGUAGCCAAUGCCAUCUUGCUUGAUUUGCAGAGACUCGCUGCUCCAAACAAGCGUGUAAUCAAGUGGUGUCUUUAAGGCUCCUCCUACCUCAUCUUUCCCUGCAAGAACCCAUCCAUAAAGCGACCUGUUAUUGGGUUGGCUAUAGCUACCCAACAUGAAGAAUCCUUGUGGGAUUUGCGAGGGAUCAAAGAAAGAAGCGCCGAGAUCAUCUGGUCCCCCUUCAUGGGUAGCCCAAACUUUGUUGAAAGAUGAAAUCUGGCACACUCGUAAUCCACCAAGAUCAAUGGUUCCAUGUCCAAAACCUUCACCUGGUGGCCAAGUUGGCAAUGGAGAGGGAAGGCUGAAGGAGGUUUCGAUGGGGGAAGCUUCGGAGACAACGUUGGGACUUGCAGAAGGACUGUUCCCCAUUUAGUUGGUGAAGGUGUUGGAAGAAAACCUUAG